rnacentral:rRNA from 1 species
GGUUAAGCGACUAAGCGUACACGGUGGAUGCCCUGGCAGUCAGAGGCGAUGAAGGGCGUGCUAAUCUGCGAUAAGCGCCGGUAAGGUGAUAUGAACCGUUAUAACCGGCGAUACCCGAAUGGGGAAACCCAGUGUGACUCGUCACACUAUCAUUAACUGAAUCCAUAGGUUAAUGAGGCGAACCGGGGGAACUGAAACAUCUAAGUACCCCGAGGAAAAGAAAUCAACCGAGAUUCCCCCAGUAGCGGCGAGCGAACGGGGAGGAGCCCAGAGCCUGAAUCAGCAUGUGUGUUAGUGGAAGCGUCUGGAAAGGCGCGCGAUACAGGGUGACAGCCCCGUACACAAAAGCGCAUGUGCUGUGAGCUCGAUGAGUAGGGCGGGACACGUGGUAUCCUGUCUGAAUAUGGGGGGACCAUCCUCCAAGGCUAAAUACUCCUGACUGACCGAUAGUGAACCAGUACCGUGAGGGAAAGGCGAAAAGAACCCCGGCGAGGGGAGUGAAAAAGAACCUGAAACCGUGUACGUACAAGCAGUGGGAGCACAGGUUUACCUGUGUGACUGCGUACCUUUUGUAUAAUGGGUCAGCGACUUAUAUUCUGUAGCAAGGUUAACCGAAUAGGGGAGCCGGAGGGAAACCGAGUCUUAAUUGGGCGUUAAGUUGCAGGGUAUAGACCCGAAACCCGGUGAUCUAGCCAUGGGCAGGUUGAAGGUUGGGUAACACUAACUGGAGGACCGAACCGACUAAUGUUGAAAAAUUAGCGGAUGACCUGUGGCUGGGGGUGAAAGGCCAAUCAAACCGGGAGAUAGCUGGUUCUCCCCGAAAGCUAUUUAGGUAGCGCCUCGUGAA